GCUUCUUUUCUCCCCACCAUUCAUUCACGGAUGAACACCCUCCACACAAAUAAACUUAUCAACACAGAGAAGAAAGAAAUCAGUGAAAACAACGAAAAGAGAGACCGAGAGAGAGCGAGACGCAUAGGAAAGAGGGGAAGGGGGAAGCAGCGUCCGUGGGUAACACAGGAAGCGUCGCUGCUGUUGCUGUCAUAUAGGAGAGUGUGGGAGAAGUGGAGAGCAAGAGGGAGAAGGGUGGUGCGCUGUUGGAGCCACAUCACUGCCGUCGUUAAACUUCCAUCGCCGUCGCCACUGUCCAACCCGCCGUCAGGGAGAGGCACUUCCAUCGAACCCUAGCCAUCACUAUCGCCUUUGCACGCAAAGAAGGGGCUGUUGCCACUAUUGCCGUCGAUUUGGAGUUGCCAUAGACACAGUUGUUUCUACUUCUAGUGCUCAUUCUUCUAACUGUUGGAGUUGCUGUGGAAUGGAGCCACUGGCGGGGUGUUGCUGCUGCCAGAACCACCGGGAAGGAUUGCUGGGAAUCACUGCUGCCCUGUUUUCGUUCUAAUUAGGUUCAACAUCCAUUGGCCUGGAGCUGUUUCUGCCUUUCGAUUCCAUCGAAUUCGAAAUCUUCAUUUCACUGCAACCAUGGUCAUUGUUGUGGAAGCUAAUGCUACUGCUGUCCCGGUUGUGUUGAGAUGUAGUGCUGCUGCUUUCUGGGCAGAAACGGUUGCGUGACUAUUAGAGGUCCAGCCAGCUGUCUCGCAGCAAUUCUGCCAACGGUCUCUUGUAAUUGCGACAUCGAGUGACACAGGUUUGAAGAUGUAAUUUGAAGCUGCGAGCGAUUAGUAGGCUUCCUUUAUGGUUUUAAUUGCUUUCAUAGAGUCCCCUCGCUCUUUUCCUUUGAAGUUUUAUUUUAUCAGAGGGGUAUGUAUUGUAUUUGGGUUUAUAUGACUUCCUAUGUAUAAGAAUUACUAAUAAUAAUACCUCUGUGAUUGUUAUUACUAUUUGCAAUGUUUAUCCUUGAUACAUGUCUUUAAUGAAUAAAAACAA